rfam:Salmo salar isolate Sally breed double haploid chromosome ssa27, whole genome shotgun sequence.
AGUAUGGAUGCAUGACCAAGUCGCUUUGGAUAAAAGCGUCUGCUAAAUAGCAUAUA